CGUACACAAAAGCGCAUGUGUUGUGAGCUCGAUGAGUAGGGCGGGACACGUGGUAUCCUGUCUGAAUAUGGGGGGACCAUCCUCCAAGGCUAAAUACUCCUGACUGACCGAUAGUGAACCAGUACCGUGAGGGAAAGGCGAAAAGAACCCCGGCGAGGGGAGUGAAAAAGAACCUGAAACCGUGUACGUACAAGCAGUGGGAGCACAGGUUUACCUGUGUGACUGCGUACCUUUUGUAUAAUGGGUCAGCGACUUAUAUUCUGUAGCAAGGUUAACCGUAUAGGGGAGCCGGAGGGAAACCGAGUCUUAAUUGGGCGUUAAGUUGCAGGGUAUAGACCCGAAACCCGGUGAUCUAGCCAUGGGCAGGUUGAAGGUUGGGUAACACUAACUGGAGGACCGAACCGACUAAUGUUGAAAAAUUAGCGGAUGACCUGUGGCUGGGGGUGAAAGGCCAAUCAAACCGGGAGAUAGCUGGUUCUCCCCGAAAGCUAUUUAGGUAGCGCCUCGUGAAUUCAUCUCCGGGGGUAGAGCACUGUUUCGGCUAGGGGGCCAUCCCGGCUUACCAACCCGAUGCAAACUGCGAAUACCGGAGAAUGUUAUCACGGGAGACACACGGCGGGUGCUAACGUCCGUCGUGAAGAGGGAAACAACCCAGACCGCCAGCUAAGGUCCCAAAGUCAUGGUUAAGUGGGAAACGAUGUGGGAAGGCCCAGACAGCCAGGAUGUUGGCUUAGAAGCAGCCAUCAUUUAAAGAAAGCGUAAUAGCUCACUGGUCGAGUCGGCCUGCGCGGAAGAUGUAACGGGGCUAAACCAUG
rnacentral:rRNA from 1 species